AACGAAAGUACAAAAUAUGAUGAUAGCAACACUUGGAAAUAAACAAUAAUACCUGGAAAUUACUGUAAAAUCUAGAUUAAGUGCAGAAUAUACUAUCAUACUGCUAUUAAGCUUACCUAUGAAGAGAAAAAAAAAAUUUUUGCCAGUCCUGAGGCUUGAACUCAGGGCCUGAGCCCACUCCCCAAGCUUCUUUUUGCUCAAGGCUAGCAUUCUACCACUUCAGCCAUAGUGCAAGUUUGGGCUUUUUCUGUUUAUGUGGUACUGAAGACUAGAACCCAGGCUUCAAGCGUGCUAGGCAAGCACUCUUCCAGCCCAUGAAGAGAAAUUUUAACUAUGAUUUGAAACAUUUAUGGUGUGCCAUAAGCAAAAGGAUCAAACUAUGAAUUACAUAAGAAAUGUGCAUAAAAAUGGAAAGAAUUAUCCCCUAUGAUGGUUAUCUUUAGGCACUGAUUUUUAUCUUAAACUUUAACUCAUUCUCCCCCAACAAUGAAAAGACAUGGUACAUACUGUCUUUUAAUUUAUAGAAAAUAAUGCUUAGGGGGCUGGGAAUGUGGCCUAGUGGCCCUGGCACUGUAGCUCAAGUGGUAGAGUGUUAGCCUUGAGCAAAA